UGCGCACAAAAAGCUGCGCGUACUUUAUACUGCUUGAUGGGUAUGUCAUAUUCAGUCCAGAGAGACUUGAUUAUUGUAAAAAGGAAAAGUGAGGUUAAACCCAGAGUUGACAGUCUACAUUUUUGUUGUUGAUGUGUCAUAUAUAUACCAAUUUUAACAAUGGGUCGUUCUGAAUCUGAGGUUUGGAAACAUUUUAAUGUUGUUGCAAAUCCUGAAUGCAAAUACAAGACAGGAAGUUUUAAAUAUUGUGGAGAAAAAUAUGUUUCAAAUGCUGGUAGAAUGAUGAAGCAUCUUGCUCAAGAAUGUCAAAAUUGUGAUGAUGAAAUUUAAACAAAUUUUAUAAAAAUGAUUGAGCCAAAAAAUAAACUUGAUGUCAGACAAUCAUCUGAGCAAGUUGUAGCACUAACUACAACGAACAAAACAACUCAAAACAAAAGCUCAAUUGACAAGUUUAUUGAUACUAAAAUGUCCAAAGAAAAUCAUGAUAAAUUGAAUGCUUCUUGUGCACGAGCAAUAUAUGCCAGAGCUUAAAUUAACAUUAUUGUACUUAAAAAAGGGUUACAAGUAUUAAAUUUCAAAGUUCAAAGUACACCAAAAAUUAAUCAUAUAAAAUUUGAAAACAUAUCUAGUUUUUGGUUGAGUUUGUCCUUUUUUUUUUUCUUUUUUUUCUCAUGAAAAAAUUGCUUAUUUUUUUGUUUUUUCCUUUUAAUUUAUUUUUUUUAAGGACAAAUUGCAAGUGCAAAUUAUUGACAAACUAAUGUCACAAUGAAAAUAAAAAGCUUUAUUAGUUUUCAACAAGUUCGUGGCAUAAAAAAAUAUAAAAAACG
rnacentral:lncRNA from 1 species